GUGGUGGCUCAGUGGUAGAGCACUUGCCUAGCAUGUGUGAGGCCCUGGGUUCGAUUCCCAACACCACA
rnacentral:tRNA from 1 species